GAUGAACGCUGGCGGCGUGCCUAAUACAUGCAAGUCGAGCGAACGGACGAGAAGCUUGCUUCUCUGAUGUUAGCGGCGGACGGGUGAGUAACACGUGGAUAACCUACCUAUAAGACUGGGAUAACUUCGGGAAACCGGAGCUAAUACCGGAUAAUAUUUUGAACCGCAUGGUUCAAAAGUGAAAGACGGUCUUGCUGUCACUUAUAGAUGGAUCAGCGCUGCAUUAGCUAGUUGGUAAGGUAACGGCUUACCAAGGCAACGAUGCAUAGCCGACCUGAGAGGGUGAUCGGCCACACUGGAACUGAGACACGGUCCAGACUCCUACGGGAGGCAGCAGUAGGGAAUCUUCCGCAAUGGGCGAAAGCCUGACGGAGCAACGCCGCGUGAGUGAUGAAGGUCUUCGGACCGUAAAACUCUGUUAUUAGGGAAGAACAUAUGUGUAAGUAACUGUGCACAUCUUGACGGUACCUAAUCAGAAAGCCACGGCUAACUACGUG
rnacentral:rRNA from 1 species